GGGGUGUUGGCGCAGUUGGCUAGCGCAUAGGCCUCAUAGCUAAAAUAAAUGCGAGUGAUCCUGAGGUCGAGAGUUCGAGCCUCUCUCACCCCA
rfam:Triticum urartu cultivar G1812 contig772113, whole genome shotgun sequence.